CCUACGGGUGGCAGCAGUAGGGAAUCUUCCACAAUGGGCGAAAGCCUGAUGGAGCAACGCCGCGUGGGUGAAGAAGGUCUUCGGAUCGUAAAACCCCGUUGUUAGAGAAGAAAGUGCGUGAGAGUAACUGCUCACGUUUCGACGGUACCUAACCAGAAAGCCACGGCUAACUACGUGCCAGCAGCCGCGGUAAUACGUAGGUGGCAAGCGUUAUCCGGAUUUAUUGGGCGUAAAGGGAACGCAGGCGGUCUGUUAAGUCUGAUGUGAAAGGCGUCGGCUUAACCCGGGUAGUGCAUUGGAGACUGGGGGACUAGAGUGCAGAAGAGGAGAGUGGAACG
rnacentral:rRNA from 1 species